GCGGCUGUGGUGGAACGGUAGACACGCGGUCCUCAGGCGGCCGUGGGCGAAAGCCCGUGGAGGUUCAAAUCCUCUCAGCCGCA
rnacentral:tRNA from 1 species